AGACCCGAAACCCGGUGAUCUAGCCAUGGGCAGGUUGAAGGUUGGGUAACACUAACUGGAGGACCGAACCGACUAAUGUUGAAAAAUUAGCGGAUGACUUGUGGCUGGGGGUGAAAGGCCAAUCAAACCGGGAGAUAGCUGGUUCUCCCCGAAAGCUAUUUAGGUAGCGCCUCGUGAAUUCAUCUCCGGGGGUAGAGCACUGUUUCGGCAAGGGGGUCAUCCCGACUUACCAACCCGAUGCAAACUGCGAAUACCGGAGAAUGUUAUCACGGGAGACACACGGCGGGUGCUAACGUCCGUCGUGAAGAGGGAAACAACCCAGACCGCCAGCUAAGGUCCCAAAGUCAUGGUUAAGUGGGAAACGAUGUGGGAAGGCCCAGACAGCCAGGAUGUUGGCUUAGAAGCAGCCAUCAUUUAAAGAAAGCGUAAUAGCUCACUGGUC
rnacentral:rRNA from 1 species